ACGGGUGAGUAAUGCCUAGGAAUCUGCCUGGUAGUGGGGGAUAACGCUCGGAAACGGACGCUAAUACCGCAUACGUCCUACGGGAGAAAGCAGGGGACCUUCGGGCCUUGCGCUAUCAGAUGAGCCUAGGUCGGAUUAGCUAGUUGGUGAGGUAAUGGCUCACCAAGGCGACGAUCCGUAACUGGUCUGAGAGGAUGAUCAGUCACACUGGAACUGAGACACGGUCCAGACUCCUACGGGAGGCAGCAGUGGGGAAUAUUGGACAAUGGGCGAAAGCCUGAUCCAGCCAUGCCGCGUGUGUGAAGAAGGUCUUCGGAUUGUAAAGCACUUUAAGUUGGGAGGAAGGGCAUUAACCUAAUACGUUAGUGUUUUGACGUUACCGACAGAAUAAGCACCGGCUAACUCUGUGCCAGCAGCCGCGGUAAUACAGAGGGUGCAAGCGUUAAUCGGAAUUACUGGGCGUAAAGCGCGCGUAGGUGGUUUGUUAAGUUGGAUGUGAAAUCCCCGGGCUCAACCUGGGAACUGCAUUCAAAACUGACAGCUAGAGUAUGGUAGAGGGUGGUGGAAUUUCCUGUGUAGCGGUG
rnacentral:rRNA from 1 species